rnacentral:rRNA from 1 species
AUUGAACGCUGGCGGCAGGCCUAACACAUGCAAGUCGAGCGAGCGGCGGACGGGGGAGUAAUGUCUGGGAACCUGCCUGAUGGAGGGGGCUAACUACUGGAAACGGUAGCUAAUACCGCAUACCAUCAGAUGUGCCCAGCUGGGAUUAGCUAGUAGGUGGGGUAAUGGUUCACCUAGGCGACGAUCCCUAGCUGGUCUGAGAGGAUGACCAGCCACACUGGAACUGAGACACGGUCCAGACGCCUACGGGAGGCAGCAGUGGGGAAUAUUGCACAAUGGGCGCAAGCCUGAUGCAGCCAUGCCGCGUGUGGGAAGAAGGCCUUCGGGUUGGAAAGCACUUUCAGCGGGGAGGCGUUACCCGCAGAAGAAGCACCGGCUAACUCCGUGCCAGCAGCCGCGGUAAUAC